rnacentral:tRNA from 1 species
GGGGGUGUGGCUCAGUUGGUAGAGCGUUCGCUUAGCAUAUCUGCUUCCAGUAUGCGAAAGGUCCUGAGUUCGAUUCUUAGCUCCUCCA